CAGCUAGAUAACAUCACUUUGGUAACUUAUUUAACUAAUUUAACACUUCACAAUAAUGUUCAAUAUGUGCAGGGCAAUCUUUUCUUAUUGUCGAGCCCUUUUUAUGUAUUUGUUAAACAUAUCAGGUCAGUGCAUUUAGAAUUAGACGUACCACAGUCAAAAACACCACUUAUUUACAACUAUUGUUAAAAAAUAUCAUUGCUAUUUCAAAGAGAGUUAUAAUAGACACGGUCACAAAAUACUUAUAACAGAGCACCAGAAUUGAUUUCACUCUCAAUUGCAAUGGGUUUUUUAUCACAGGAAAAGUUGGAUGUGGAACACAGAAUGUCUCUUUAGUAGUGGUAAUUAAGUUUUUUUUUAAAGAUAUUAAAUAAAAAGCGCUGAUGCUUCAUCGUUCUCUGUCUGUUGGAGCACCAAAAGUCCAGACCCACUUACGUCAUCCAGAGGUUCCUGUUUUAUUGUGAUGGAAAUUUUGGAUGGCAGGGACUUCUCCAAGGAAUGAGAUUUGUCCUGUGCCAGUGUGCAGAUGGAUGCAUGGGAUGCCAGAAGCAUUUUCAGCUGCUCUUUCUCCUGUUGCAGGCAGCUCACCUCUGCAGCACGAUCUGCUCCAUGUGCAGGCGCUCAGUCUCCUGAAAACAAAUUCACAGCUGGAUCCCAUUAGCAUGUGCUGCUGGUAAAUACGUAACAGAUUCCCCGAAGCAGAGUGUACUGCAUUUUUAAAAAUAAAGGGUGCAAAAGGAGGUUUUCAUAGCAAUAACAUAGAAGAUCAGGUUCCUUAAAGAACUCUCAUUCUGACGGCACCCAUUCACUACAGAGGAUCCAACAGUGAGCAAGUGAUGUAAUGCUAAAUUUCCCCAAAUCUGUUCUGAUGGAGAAACAAACUCAUCUACAUCUUGGAUGACCUGAGGAAGUCUCAAGUUAAAACUGGACAAACAAGAUGUAUCAGAAAGGUGCACCACCCUGAACACAAUAUGAAAAUAAAAAUGGCAGUGCAGCCCUAUUAUUCACCUCCUGAAGAAGGUGAAUAAGUUCUCGUCUGUGGUUGCGGGGCUAGUUGUCACACUGUAUAACACACCUUUCAGGCAGAAACCAUCUAAUGAAGAUUUUCAUUUUGUUUUCAGGACAAGCAUGUCUUGUAUGUUGUAAUAAUUUAUUUGUGGUAUUUUAUGAGUUUAUUUUAUGCGUCUAUCCAGAAAUAAUAAUAUGUUAUAAUAUGUUGCAUUUUACCUGUGCAUUUCUUUUGAAGCUUUCUCUGUGAGCUGCUGUGGGUUCUCUGGUCUGCUCCAGACUCUCACUGGGCAUCACAGGCUCGAUUCUCCAGCGCAGCUCUUGUCUCGAUGUGACUGCAUUGACAGUGGCGAUAAAAGGGCUUUUGGAAAUCUGCAUCUCGACCUGGCUGAAAAGAGGAGAGAAACAAAAGAAAGAUGUGGUAAAUUAAACUAGAAAAUAUGUCACUGCAAAAGAUUCUUGUCAGAAGUGCAGUUUAAACAGAGAACAGAGACCAUAUGGGAACAAUGGAACUUCUUGAGUCUGUGACUCUGUAACUUGGCAUCAGAAGUGGGAUUUGAACUCAUACCUCCAUUCAGAGACCAAAAACCUCAUGUCCUGAGAAGGCUGAAAGUGCUUGAGUGUAGCACUCUGCCAUUCUGACACCUAAUGCUGCUAUAUUGUUAAUCAGUCAUAACAGUAAAGCCUGCCUUAUGGCAAUGCAAAUAUGUAAAUUGCAACUAAAUAAAUUAUUUUGAGACUUAGCAGCUUGCUUUUAAUGAUCACUUCAGUGGAGCCUUCAAUAUGACACUGUGUAGAAUGCAAAUGAAAGCACUUAAUGCAUUUACUUUUUUUUAAAUUAAGUUUUGAAUUUUUGUUUGAUUACUUGAAAACCUUUUUAUCACAAGCAGGGUUUGAACUCACGCCUCCUUUCGGAGACCAGAAUGCUCAUUACAGUACCUGAGAAGGUUGCAACACCCUGAGUCUGGUGCCUAACAUGUUGAUGAGUCCAAUCAGUAAAGCCUUCAGUAUGGAAUGGCAAUGGCACUUAAUGCCUUUACGUUCCUUGAGCUUUCAAUUCUUGUGUAGUCACUCUAAAUUGCCAGUAGUGGAAUUUAACCCCAGUUCUCCAUUCAGAAACCAGGAACCUCAUGUCCUGAAAGCCUGGAAAUCCUUGAGUCUGGCAUCUUCUACCACUUGGUCAUCCUGACACCUGAUGCAAGUUAUUUGAUGAUCUGUCCUAUCAGCGUACCCUGUGGUACUGUGUCGCAUGCAGUUUAUACAUUUGUAUACAUGUAGCCUACAUUCUUAUCUAGUCACUCUAAAAGCUAACUGUCAAGACUGGGAUUUGAACCCACAGCUCCAUCAAAGUCCAGAAACCUCAUGUCCUGAAAAUUUGGUAAAUCCUUGAGUCUGAAUCUUAGACUACUUAGACAUUCUUAAAACUGAUUCUGCUUUUUUGAUGAGCCAUCUUAUCAGUGGAGCCUGCAUUUUGGUUUGCAUUCUUUUGAGUUUUGACUUUUUGUCUAAUCGCUCUAAAAGGAUCUUCUCAGAAGUGAGAUUUGAACCUACAGUAUGCCUCCAUUCUGAGACAGGAAGCCUGCACUGGACUAAAUUCAAAGUACUUUUCAAGGCGGUUGCAAUGUCAGGAUUUAUCUCCUGUGGUAUACCUCAGAUAGUACCUUGAAAGGGACUUUGGGUAUACAGAGUGUCCUUUACAAGAGGACAAUAAGACAUACAUGUGGAAGAGGAAACAGAAUGUAUUGUGGUUUACAUCACUGCAUCAUAGCCUGGCUUUGAUUCUCUUUAUGAAGUAAAUUGCUCUUUCUUUCAGUUCCUUAAUGGAAAAUACUACUCACUUGUUUUGGGUCCGUCACAUGUACACAGGAAUUUUGGUCAGAAAAUUUAUUAUUUUGUAUUAUAUUUUUGCAUAUGUAUUAUUUUGAUACUGUCAUGAUAUAUUUUAUUCCAAUGUUUUAUUUUAUUAUUUUAACACCAUCUCACAAAAGUUGCAGUACUUUGGACUGGUUUUGUUUUUGUAGUCUCUUAUAAAGCAUAAC
ensembl:lncRNA